ACGCAUGGUGCGCGCGCAGAUGAUGAUCUUGGUCAUGCGCCGGCUUUCAUAGUCACCGGCGUUGAGAAUCUGCGCGCCCAUCA
rnacentral:misc_RNA from 1 species